GCGUCCGUAGCUCAGUCGGAUAGAGCACCAGAUUCCUAAUUUGGGGGUCACAGGUUCGAAUCCUGUCGGGCGCACCA
rnacentral:tRNA from 1 species